rnacentral:rRNA from 1 species
GAGGAGCGAAAGCGUGGGGAGCGAACAGGAUUAGAUACCCUGGUAGUCCACGCCGUAAACGAUGAGUGCUAAGUGUUAGGGGGUUUCCGCCCCUUAGUGCUGCAGCUAACGCAUUAAGCACUCCGCCUGGGGAGUACGGUCGCAAGACUGAAACUCAAAGGAAUUGACGGGGGCCCGCACAAGCGGUGGAGCAUGUGGUUUAAUUCGAAGCAACGCGAAGAACCUUACCAGGUCUUGACAUCCUCUGACAAUCCUAGAGAUAGGACGUCCCCUUCGGGGGCAGAGUGACAGGUGGUGCAUGGUUGUCGUCAGCUCGUGUCGUGAGAUGUUGGGUUAAGUCCCGCAACGAGCGCAACCCUUGAUCUUAGUUGCCAGCAUUCAGUUGGGCACUCUAAGGUGACUGCCGGUGACAAACCGGAGGAAGGUGGGGAUGACGUCAAAUCAUCAUGCCCCUUAUGACCUGGGCUACACACGUGCUACAAUGGACAGAACAAAGGGCAGCGAAACCGCGAGGUUAAGCCAAUCCCACAAAUCUGUUCUCAGUUCGGAUCGCAGUCUGCAACUCGACUGCGUGAAGCUGGAAUCGCUAGUAAUCGCGGAUC